rnacentral:rRNA from 1 species
UACGGAGGGGGUUAGCGUUGUUCGGAAUUACUGGGCGUAAAGCGCGCGUAGGCGGACUAUUAAGUCAGAGGUGAAAUCCCGGGGCUCAACCCCGGAACUGCCUUUGAUACUGGUAGUCUUGAGUUCGAGAGAGGUAAGUGGAAUUCCGAGUGUAGAGGUGAAAUUCGUAGAUAUUCGGAGGAACACCAGUGGCGAAGGCGGCUUAUCGUGCUCGAUACUGACUCGUGAGGUGACGAAAGGUGUGGGGAGCAAAACAGGAUUCGAGACUACCCCGGUAGUCC